AUUGAACGCUGGCGGCAUGCUUUACGCAUGCAAGUCGAACGGUAACAGGCCGCAAGGUGCUGACGAGUGGCGAACGGGUGAGUAAUGCAUCGGAACGUGCCAGUCGUGGGGGAUAACUACUCGAAAGAGUAGCUAAUACCGCAUACGAUCUAUGGAUGAAAGCGGGGGACCGUAAGGCCUCGCGCGAUUGGAGCGGCCGAUGUCAGAUUAGGUAGUUGGUGGGGUAAAGGCUCACCAAGCCAACGAUCUGUAGCUGGUCUGAGAGGACGACCAGCCACACUGGGACUGAGACACGGCCCAGACUCCUACGGGAGGCAGCAGUGGGGAAUUUUGGACAAUGGGCGCAAGCCUGAUCCAGCAAUGCCGCGUGCAGGAAGAAGGCCUUCGGGUUGUAAACUGCUUUUGUACGGAACGAAACGGCUCUGGUUAAUACCCGGGGCUAAUGACGGUACCGGAAGAAUAAGCACCGGCUAACUACGUG
rnacentral:rRNA from 1 species